rnacentral:rRNA from 1 species
AGUGAACGCUGGCGGUAGGCCUAACACAUGCAAGUCGAACGGCAGCACAGUAAGAGCUUGCUCUUACGGGUGGCGAGUGGCGGACGGGUGAGGAAUACAUCGGAAUCUACUUUUUCGUGGGGGAUAACGUAGGGAAACUUACGCUAAUACCGCAUACGACCUACGGGUGAAAGCAGGGGAUCUUCGGACCUUGCGCGAUUGAAUGAGCCGAUGUCGGAUUAGUUAGUUGGCGGGGUAAAGGCCCACCAAGGCGACGAUCCGUAGCUGGUCUGAGUGGAUGGUCCGCCACACUGGAGCUGAGACACGGCCCAGACUCCUACGUGAGGCAGCAGUGGGGAAGAUUGGACACAGGGCGGAAGACUGAACCAGGCAUGCCGCGCGGGUGAAGCAGGCCUGCGGGUUGGAAAGCCCUUUUGUGGGGAAAGAAAAGCAGCAGGUUAAUACCCCGCUGUUCUGACGGUACCCAAAGAAUAAGCACCGGCUAACUUCGU